UACGUAGGGGGCAAGCGUUGUCCGGAUUUAUUGGGCGUAAAAGGCUUGUAGGUGGCCACGCCAAGUCGGAUGUGAAAUCUCCCGGCUCAACUGGGAGGGGUCAUUCGAUACUGGCGGGCUCGAGGCCGGUAGGGGGAAGUGGAAUUCCCGGUGUAGUGGUGGAAUGCGUAGAUAUCGGGAGGAACACCAGUGGCGAAGGCGGCUUC
rnacentral:rRNA from 1 species